AUGCUAACAAUGGUGGAAACCCUUCUGAGAAUGAGUUUUUUUAAGGAUGUGAUGAAGGAGGCAAAAUGGCAGCUUUAUCAUGGUUGUACCAAGUUUUCAAGGUUCUCCUUUGUGGUAAAGCUUCUUCACUUGAAGUCAUACCAUAGGAUCCCGAAUAGUGCAUUUACUAAAAUUUUGAAGCUAUUAGCUGAAGCAUUCCCUGAACCCAAUACGCUCCCAAAAUCGUAUAAGGAAGCAAAGAACCUUCUAAAGGAAUUAGGCCUUGGGUAUGAGUCUAUACAUGUGUGCUUCAAUAAUUGCAUUCUGUUCAGAAAGCAAUAUGCCAAUCAUGACAAUUGCCCAGUUUGUGGCCUAUCAAGGUGGAAAGACCUUGCUAGAAAGAAGAUUCCACAGAAAGUGUUGAAGCAUUUUCCAUUGGUGCCUAGGCUAAAGAGGAUGUUUCUUUCCAAAAAAGGCGCAGAAGAAGCACAAUGGCAUGAGCUAAAGAGGCAGCCCAAUGAGAAGGAACUGAGUCAUCCAAAAGACGGUGAUGCGUGGAAAGAUUUCGAUGAAAAAUUUCCAGAAUUUGCAAAAGAUGCCAGAAACUUUAGGCUUGGCAUUGCCACUGAUGGGUUCAAUCCUUUUGGAAAUUUUAACACAACCUAUAGUAUGUGGCCUGUAUUUGUUAUACCAUACAACCUUCCACCUUGGGCAUGCAUGGAUCAGUCAAAUUUUAUGAUGGCUCUGCUGAUUCCAGGUCCCAAAUCACCUGGCAAGCACUUCGAUGUCUUUCUACAACCACUUGUGGAAGAAUUACUUGAGCUCUGGGAGGGUGUACGUACAUAUGAUGCUCUUAGUGGAAAAAUGUUUGAUCUUCAUGCUGCAGUUCUAUGGUGCAUUCACGAUUACCCAGCUCUGAGCACUCUUUCAGGGCGUACCACAAGAGGCUAUUUUGCAUGUAUUCAUUGUGACAAACACCCACUUUCUUACAGCCUAAGGAGUAAAAUUGGGUAUAUUGGUCACUAUCGUUUCCUUCCAAGGGGUCAUCGUUUGCGGAGAAACAAUGAAUUUGUUGGUCUUCAUGAAAGCAAUGAUGAGCCAGGUAAAUUCUCUGAGAAAGAGUUGCAAGCAGAAUUGGAGAAGGUUAGACCUGGGAGACAACAAGAAAGUAGAAAAAGGAAGCGUUCUGACUUGGGCAGCAAGAAGGAUCAUGUGCCAAUUUGGGGCCGGCGGGUUUGUUUGUGGGAUUUGAAGUAUUGGGUAAAGUUGAAGCUGAGACACAAUCUUGAUGUCAUGCAUAUUGAGAAAAACAUUUGUGAAAACCUCGUUGGGACAAUUCUGAAUCUAGAGGGUAAGACAAAGGACACACUUAAUGCUAGGAUUGAUCUCAAAGAUUUGAAUAUUAAAGAGGAGUUGCAAUUGAGGAAGGAGGGAGACUCAUAUGUGAUGCCUCGGGCCCGAUAUACCUUGUCCAAAGAACAAGUUGUUGCAUUUUGUCAAUUUUUACGAGAGUUAAAUUUCACCAAACCACUGGCUCGCGCAGCUACCCUGUGCACUGUGAUAAUCUGGGAGACAAAUACAAAGAUAAAGAACCCACUGCAUUGGAUUUGUUCAAGGAGUGCCAUUACAGCAAGAAAAAGAAAAGCUACACCGAUGUUGUCCAAGCUGCAAUUACCGAGAUGGAAAACAAGGCCUCUCAGCCUAUAG
rnacentral:rRNA from 1 species